rnacentral:lncRNA from 1 species
AGCCCUCCUUUAUCUCUUCCUGCCUUACGAUGAGAGAUUGGUUGAAUUGAGCCCUUUUCAAAGCUUAUCUCAGUCAUCAGAGUAGGCUUUGCAAAUCCAGCCAGUGGAGUUGUUGUUGGUUUGAACACAGCUUGAGCUUUGUCAGAGGUUGUGUCUGUCUUUGCAUCCUUAUUAACUUGAGCUUUGUCAGAGGUUAAUAUUUCUUUUUGAGGUUCUGCAACAUGAGCUUUGUCAGAGAUUGCAGCUUCUAAUUUCUUUUCCUUUACAACUUGAUCCUUGUCAGAGGUUGUAGACUUCUUCUUUUCCCAGCCUUUUUCCAGACGUUCAUCUACUUUGCUUUUGCC